AGAUGAGGUGAAGGUACUCUGAACUGGAAGAGGUGGGGAGAGUCAGACGGAAGCCAAAGAGCUUGGAAACUGGCAGGUGCUAAGAAGAGGUCUGAGCUGCAGAAUGAACUGUUUUCUUAAAGCCCAUAUGACCCAAGACAACCUCAGCUCUCAUCAGAACAUAGGAAUAAAGGUAGCCAAGUGAUGGUACUAACUCAGGCUCUUAUUCACUCCUGACCUGCUCCAAAUGAGUGUCCUACAAACAGUGCCGGCAUCCGCAGAGGCUCGCUCAUGCUCCCAAAAAAGCCCUCUGCCGCUGCUGGUGCAACUGCCCCCACUCUGCCGUGGGCCCACCCCUCACCCCGCACACAUCCUCCUUGGACCCUGGGACCCCGGGGCAUUAGUGGUCCCCUGCUACCACCAGGGGUACACACUCCAGUACCUCCAACCAGGACGCAGCAGCGCUGCUUCCUCUCCGGAGCUGCUGAGGCGGCCGUCCCGACUGUGUGUCUCACUUCACUACCUGCACUGAAGUAUCUCCCAUGGUCCCCCCAUGUCUCACUGAGUCUUCAAUAAAAUCACCUCGUU